CUGAGAUUCUGGUGCUUAAAUAAUUUAGGUCCCUUACCAACAUAAGCAUUCAUCUUGAACAAGAUGGAGGUUUCCUCCAGUGAACUACAAGGAAUGUGAACAACUGCCAAUGUUGAACAACCAAUGUAUAUAAUUAUUGUAUCAUAUGUACCAUGCCGAGACAUCAUGUUCUCGAUACACUCCCCUUGCAUAUAUUGGGGGGUCUACCAACCUAGCAUUAAUAGUUGUUGCUCUGUAUCGUAGCAAGUAGAUCAAUUGAUUGUUUUAUGGAUAAUAUAGAGUACCACAUAGACAUAAACACUGGUACUCUUUCAAACAAAUAUUUUUCAAGUUUUAUUUUUUUUGUACGAGAUAAUUUCUUAAGUAAUGGCAUUUUGAUGUCAAGUUCUGGUCUGAAGUCACUAAUAUAGUGUAGGAUGUGAGUUAUGUUUCCAUGUGCAAGUACACAAUAACAAAGAAUCAAGAGGCUUUAACAUUUAACAUCGAAGUGUCUGAAGAAAAAUCAAGACCCAAAACUCAAAUAUGAAUGGAGGGCCAAAAACACCUAUAAAAAACAUUUUCCCUCUCCACUUCUGCCAUUAGGAUUCAUAGUUUCCCAAUUAUUUAUUAGUCAGAAAAUAAAUCUUAAGUUUGAAAGCACGUUUAUCCACCAAAAUAAAACUAUCCAAUAUAGUUGUGCAUCCUCUCAUCCCAAUGUAUGUCAAUUUUGGCUCCAUGUCUAUCUAGCUAAAAGCAUGGUACAAUAAUAUAAUCAUGACCAUGAACAGGACACUGGUCGACAGUCAUAAAAGGUCAGAUAAAGUAUUUUGAGGAUCUUACCUUAUUUCGCAAUGGUUUUCACAUAUCGCAUGUGUAAUUGGAGAACAAACAAACUCCUCCUAAUAUGAUCAAAGGAGUAGACAAAGUAUUAUAGAGCGUUAAUGAAUUAGAACUAAAAAGCAUGUUUCCUCUGAAUAUCUACUGAUGGUACUACAAUUCCCAAAAAGUGGUUCUAGGGAUUGGCAAGAACACUCAUGGUGUAUCUCCAUAGCAGAUAAAGAUGACUCAGACUAUGCCAUAUUAUGUUCUCUAAAUAAUGAUUCUUCUCCAGAAAACUUGUCUUCAAACAACAUGAAUGGUUCGAACUGAUGAAUUUUGUAUGUGAAUUCAUGGAUAGCAUUUCUCAGAAAUAGAACUUCUCCGUUUAGGUCAACAACUAAAAGUAAAUUAUGUCCUAAUCAGCCCACCCAUCAAUGAAUCCUUGGUGGGUGCUUAUAGGGAACAUAUGGCUCCCAAAAAAGAGGAAAGAAUAAGUCAAGUGGCCCCAAUAAGAGCAAAGAUGUGGUUCUCAGAAUUGAAUAAAAUAGAAAAAAAUAAAACAAAAUAACAUAAGUGGAAGUAAGCCCAAUUCAAGCCUCUCAACCCACCACAAGGUAUGCUCUCAAACCAUUCACUCAAUUGUUUCAUUACCUUGGUCGAGCUGUCUCCCUCUAGCUUUAUAGGUCACCAAAAUGUGUUAACUAGAACAUAACCACGAUAACUAUCUUGGAUGCCAAAUAUAUUCUUUCAAGUGUACCCACACUUAACUCUUAGUGACAACUAUUUUAAUAUAGGAAUAUGAACUAUUGGAUAUGAUCAUCAUGAACUAUUGAUAAAUUCAUUAUCUCUAUUGGAUAUUUAGCUUUCAGUUUGAGUAGGGUGAUCAGAUUUGUACCCAACAUAUGACGUCCAGACCAUCAUUGAGAAUACAGUAUUGGACGCUUACUCAUGCAUCUUACAAAAGUCAAGAGGCCAUCUCCAAUUCUUAAUCAAGCUGAGUUUUCAACAAUAUCCAGCUCAAUUCAUAAUAAUGAUCAAUCUUUAGGCUCACCCAACAAAAAUUGUCAUAGUUUCUCGCAAUCAAUUUGUGCAACUUGAAGAAUAGCAUGUCUGGGGGAUGAAAAUUGUUUUUACAAUGUCACGAAGUCAGAAGAAGCUCACUAGAAUAAAAAUUUCCCAUUAAUAGGUGAAAUAUAUUCUUUUCAAAGGAAACUCAAAGAUAUAAGCCAGUCAUUUCAAAGACCAUGAACAAGUCCUUCAUUACCAGUUCUUUGCGAGCACUUUACAAAUAUUGUCACAUGCACAGAAGUUCAUGACACUUUUCUAACAAGGAUGUUCAGCUUGACUCAUCGUAAGGUGACCUUCCUUAAUAUUUCCUCUAAUCUUAUAUAGUCAAUCGACUAAUCUAAUAUUGACGGUGAAGAUACCACAACCAUGAUUUAGAUCUGAUUCGAAAUCUAAGUAUAUUUCACAUUUCUAUGAAGAACAUAGGGAUAGCUAACAAUGCGAUCAGUUAUAGAGUUUCAAAAAGUUAAAGACAGCGAGAGAGAUGGAUAGAAUCAAUUGCCAAUUCUACUAGUUGAUCGAGCUUCAACACAAGACCAUCCUCUAUAUUUUCAAAUGUCGAAUACCAAAUCUACUGUAUGUCCUUUUGACCUCUAUCUUCUAACGUCAACGAUUGUAGUGGAAGUUUCAUUCCUUGCUGCUGAAUUUCGUAUAAUUACCUUUCCAAAAUAAUCCCUUUUUUCCACUUUGUACUCGGUAGCCUAGUUUUCUUGACUCCGGAUCAUCAGCGUGCUAAAUUGACAAAUGAAAUUGGGAUGUACGAACCACGGAUUUUAAGUAAUGAAGAAAGAGAAAUUACGUAGUUGUUGAAGCAGACAGAAGUAGAAUGAAACAUCGAAACAACUAAACUACCAAUUACUCUAAACCAUCAAUUGCUAAACAAAAUCUUGAACUUGGUCACGAAAAGGAAAAAAAAUCCCGUAACAAAAAUCAAGAAAUUUCUCAAUCUUUUUUGAAAUAAAAGAACCUAUAACUAUGAGGUUGGACAACCGAAUCAGAGAUCAUAAAUCCCAGAUAAGAGAUUGUUUAAAGACCGGAAAAAUCACCUUCCAAGACGUGAUCCUCGGGUCCUAUGGAGGAAUCCCCACACACAUCGCACACUACCCUCCCGUGGAUUUCCCCGGUCCACCCCUCCGCCGCGCCGCACAGCAGCAGCACCAGAACGAGCAUGCCCAUCACCUCCACCGCCGGUCCUCCUCUCCUCGGCGGCUCCAUCUCCGGCGGUGCGUCUUCGAUCCUCGAAGAGAGAGAGACGAGCACGAGCUUCUCAAAGUCUUCCCCUUUCCUAUUUGAUGACAGCCUGCAGGCCUCGGUGGCAGCUCGCUUCCAGCGAAGUUUGCCGACAUCCUUACAGGCCACGGUGUGAGAUCCACCGUUGAAGAGUGGCAAGAGAUUGGAUCCAUGUCGAUGAACGGCUGAUAUCGAUCACCUGUGCUGAUGUAUUUAUAUCGCUGUUUGCUACGCUGUCCCUGCCCCAAGUGGCACCCCCAGGGCCAUGUCAUGUGUGACUUCGUGUCAUGUUGUGGGCUUCUUAAAUCCAAUUACUUGCAAGCCUAAUUUCAAUAUUACAAGCACAAUAUGUUGCUACCAUGAUUAGUAACCUAUCUUGAGCACUAUCAUUUCACAUCGAUUUAUUCUUAACAACACUUAACAUCUAAUUUUCUUAUUAUUUUCCUUUUUUAUAUUAGCAAAAAAUUAUUAAUUAUCAUGAUAGAUAUCGUCUGAUAUUGAGUCUUUUUUUCAUCAGAUAUGGCUAGCAUCUCAUUUUAUUACGACAAUAUAUAGUUAUUUUGAAGGUGAUAAGUUACUGAGCGCCGUUGGCAUCAUUGAAAAUGCCAAUUUAUGAAGAUUUAUACCCUAUUUUAGCUUUUGAAAAAUACCAAGAUAGCACGAUUUUCUUAACAAGCAUGUGAUAAUGUUGUUUACUUUGAGCUUGGCUAGUUGAUUAGCUCAUUCAUUCAAGCUGCAUUUCAAGUUUGCAAUAAAAUUGCCAUUGUUUUGCAAGUUUUAAAGCAAACAAGUGCCCAUUUUUAUGAUUUUGGGUGCCUCAACAAGCUACGCGUUCGCAAAUUGAUUCAAAAUAAAGUUUGAGACUCAACACAAAUAAAUAGAGUUCCAGAAACUAAAACCUUGGCUCGGUUUGUUCAUAAUUUUGAAGUCUAUGAACAGAUGAUAAAAAGAGGUGGAAUACUGGGAAAUGGAAGUGAAUAGAAUAACAACUCAGUAAGUGCAGUAUAAUGCUUCAUAGAGAUGGGGAAGGCUUGAAUAAAUUAGAAGAGGCAAAGCAUAAAUACAUGUUGCAUGCUUAUAGCAUCUAUAUAGAGAUUGUUUUGGCAUGACCCUUCUUUUCAACCCUCAAGAAGGAACACCCUUAAAAAUCACAUUCCUAGAAAGUUGCAGCCAUCAUUAAUCUAUUAAGUCACUAAACAUUUAACUUGCUAACUUAACUUUGAGCAUGUGAGAACUAGUGUCACCAAUGUGACGGCAUUGCGGUCAUCAUAUUUGUAUCAGGCUAAAAUCCUUAAACUACUUGGCUUUCCUUUCCAGCUACAAAGUAAUGUUAUUUGCAAUUCUCUAAAACAAACUAAAAUCUUAUCGAUGUUUAUGAUCACAAAAGGAGCUAUAGAAAAAUUGAAACCGAACUUAGGAUCUAUAUCCAAAAUAGCCUACUUGAGAAGCUGAUCAACGAGCUACCCAAUUGUAGAAUAUUCUUUUAUAAAAAAAUAAAUCGUAACAUAUUCUACUUUUGAUCAUGGUGGAAACAGAUAUCUAGCUCAAGCCCACUUGUUUAAUGUGGUUCCAAAAUUGACAAACCAACCUAGUUAAGGGGAGCUUUUUAGAAAUUUACCUAAUUUUCUAAUGAAUAAAAAGGGCUACCCAAGUUUCAAUAUUCGCUUUCACCUUUUUAUUGAGCCAAUCAAUUCGCUCAUCUUAAACUCGACACUUGCAUAUACUUUUUCAUUCAAUCAAUUGCUAGGCCCCACGAAAACCCUGACCCCCUUACACUCGCUUGAAAGAAGAACAAAAAAUAAUAUAUUAGAUUUUAAAUAGAUUACAGCUUUAAUAAUAUUUUUUGUCAACAUGAAAUAUUAUUUUCAAUGUGCAAUUAAAAUUACGAAAAAAAAGCAGGCAACGAAAUCAACAUCAAUUAAAUUGUCCAAAUAAAUCACCGAUACACCCAUCAUCACUGAUCAAGUGCUGUCUCCAAACCCGAACAAUACAAAUUUACUCCCAAUGGAUGACUCUUUGUCAGUCUUAAUCCAAACGAUUCCCUUUUAUAAAGCAGAGGUAUAACCUACAAACCAGCAAGGCGGAAGUUAUGGAGAUCAAGAAGUGGUUAAAAAUUAAAACUCGUGGAGUGUGUUCUUUUGUUGGACAUCACCCUGCAUAUUGUAGGAUAUAUAUUUGUUGUUUAUACUCUUUGCAUUUAAUCUAUUGUUUUGUGUAUCUUAUAUGGUUGUUCUUGUGGUAUGCCAUUUCGGUACUGAACUCUAUAUCAAAGCCAUACUGAUCAGUACAGUAGAUAUAUUUUAUAUCGUCAGAUUCGGUACGAUACAACAUACUAUAAUUGUCAUGACUGGUUUGUGCACUACACUAUAUUUUACCGGUCUUCCUCCUUAUUGUGGGGUAUCCAGGGCUUAAUUGCUUAAUGAACCUCAUAUAUGUUUCCAUGGGGGGUUUGGGAUAUAGGUUUUCUGGGAAUAACUCUUGAUAGGAACAGUGAAACACACCUGCUGAGAGGGAAUAAGGAUUAUAACUAUAUAGGAGCUUAAAACUGUAGCUCCAGAGGCCCAUAGUUAGAUUGUAAACAAGUUAGAACUUAAAACUCUUCGGCACGAUCUUUUACCUAAGGUGACAAAGACUAAAAUCCCAUAACAGAAGCCUUAAAAGAAAGGAAUUAAACAUUUAGCAUCCCAUCAUCAUCUUCAUCAAGUCGCUAUUGUUUUCCAGAUCAUUAGUCCCUGCUUCAGCAAUUCAAGGGACACUUGCAAUUCAAGUUGAAAUUAUGUAAUUAUGAUUCUUAGAAACUGUAGGGCUGAUUAUAUGGGACGGAUUUGGGCACAUAAAAUGUCAAAUUUUAUAUAGGCUUGGCCCAAAGUCUAAUUCAAAAUGAAUAGGAUUUAGGCCCAAGGCUCAGCCCAUAAUCAACUCUACUAAAAUGACAGUGAUAUUGGUACUCUUUUUUAUGAUAAUAAACUCUAUAUAUUUGCUAAAAAGAGAGAUGAGAUGCAGAGGUGGUAUUAUUAAAAUGGAGAUUUAUAAAGAUAUCUUACAGCCUGAAACCCAGUAUGAUUGGGAUGGAUUUCUUGUUAGAUUAUUCGAUUGAACAACAUGCUCAGGCAUGGCCUAUGACAACCUAAAAUCCUUGUUAGAGAUAAUGUUCAAUCACAAAGAUAUAUACACACCCGCUGUUUGGAUAUGAACAUGUCAAUUGAAAUACAUAUAUAUUUGCGGAAACAUUGAAUAGCUAUAGACUUUAUCGAUCAAGUUACUAUAGUUUGUUGAUUUUCUCACUAUCAUCAGUUGCCCAUCUACAGAAAUGGGUGGCUAUAAUUGGCUGCAUGCACGGCCAGAAAGUGCAUGAGGUGUAGGCUAUAAUUUCUUCAUGUAUAGCAGUCAGGAUUCGUAGCAAGUCCAAGCCCUACCUCAUCCCCAAGCAAGUCUAUGAUCAACAUACAACUAUACCGAAAUUCCAUGAAUGCUAAUGCCUACGUAUGUGCAGAACUCGGCAGUUAUCUUCUAGCAAAACCCUUUGCAUGCCAGCAGGCAAUAAGAAGACUAGAAUUACAUUAUUGAUCCCUGAUGUAGUGCUAAAUUUGGUCUCACUGCUAUAAGUUGAUGAGAUCUUAUGAGUCCCAGAUUCACCCUAUCUCUAUGGGACUUCUAAGCACCCAUAAAUGUUGUUUUGAGGGAAAAAAUUAAAAAGGAUAUCCUUAUCUAACUAAGGUUUCCUUUAAAUUCUUGUUAUCAAUCUUUUUGUAAUGUCGCCAUUGCUUGAUCAGUUAAGAGCCAUAAACAAACCAUCCUCUUCAACAAGCACUGAGAUGGCUGUGGAUUAUGAUAAUCAAUUAUCUCAAGUAAGUAUUUAUCAUUUUUUUUUUCUCAGGGAAUCUUUCUUUUUGAAAUAUAGGAAGGCAUUCUUUCCAUGCAUCCAUCAUAAAAGAGUGGAUGUUACUUUGGGAGCCGGUUAUGAUAUAAAUAUGUUACGUGGAUAGCUGGGUAUGGGUCAAAAUUUAGUUUACUAAGCGUUAUAGAACUAUAGAAGAGCCCAUCAGAUUCAACUUUGAACCACCGAAAGUAGAUGAUAAAAAAUAGUGAAAAAGCCACUAUCAUUGAAUCAAAGUCCAACCACAGCACAUGCCCGCAGGCCUACAAAACAAAAGGAAUGCGUCCAGCCUAGAAAACUCACGGAAGCAAUCCCUUCUGAUUUGUCACCCUUCACUUAUGGACAGUACGUACGUAGCUGAUAUAGUGAUAUGUAAACUAACGGACGGACCUCGAAGGUUUUCCUUUCCUUCGGGUGAAGUCCCAAAGAAGGUUUCCGAGGCACCAAACAGCAACAGUAAGUACUGUCAUUGGUCUGGUCGAAAGGCUCAUCUUUCAGGCAAUGUAUGAGGUACUCCCCAUCCCAUGCUCAUCCAAAGAACUACAUGUAUUAGGCCCCCACUGGUACGACGAAGUGGACUUGGCUACAGGUUGCUGUGUUCUCUGGUAGGUAGAAGAGCUCAACUGGUUGCCUCCACCGUUCCCCAGUGCAAGAUUUUUGCUUGUAUAUUAAAAUAAGUUGUCCUCUUUGAGUGGCUGGACAUGCGAUAUGGGUCCAUCCAUAUCCUUUAAGCCUUUGAUAGAUAGUAAGUCCUGCUCCGCCCGUUGCCUGGGAUUUGCCUCUUUACACUAAAUUUAUUGUCCUCUCCACUACAUGCAUAGCACCUGCGUGGCUCAUGGCCUCCCUUAUCCUCAAAAAGGAGUAUAAGGUGGGCUAGGGCAGCGGUUGUACCAUUCCGAGAUGGACGAAGGAUUCACCUUUCUUUAAACGAAUCUACCAUGGAAGCGUACAAUGAUUGCUUUCAAUUCUAUACCUAUGAUCUAACAGUCUACGUUGCAAAAGAAGACCAAUCAUUCUUUCUGCAAGAGAUACAACUCAAGCAUGAUCUUCUUUAGUUAGUAGUGUAUAUUGAAACUCAAAAAACAUGCAAGAUAGACUCUUGGGACUAUUGACAUGGUUGGCAUUUUGUAAUAAAUAAUCUCUUUCAUUUUUUCUGAAAAUUAAAAAAAAAGAAAACUCUUUGAUAUUUCAAUUAUAGAAAUAAUUAAUGAUGGUGAUUUCUUUGCUCUUCAUGUGUUAAAUGUUGACGGGGUCAAAUUUUGUGUGCGGACAUCAUAGGCACCUGGCCACCUGGGUCUUUAGCUUUUACUCCGGCUACUAAAAGCAACUUAUUAAAUUAAAAAGCAACUUAUUAAAUUAAGGGCAGAUUCGCUAGACGGCUGGCCUGUUCACACUUUCCCAUCAACAGAACAUUGAUAGGGUGAAUAUUUUGUCCCUUUCACCCACCAAGAUAUAGAUCGACGAUGAUGGUUUUAUUUAAACUUCUUUAGAUAAUGAGCAUUUCUAUCUUUAGUAUCGUAUAGAGAAGAUGAGAAUCCCCAUGCAGAAGGAGGGCGUUCACAAAUCGAGAAACUUACGCUAUCUAUUUUUGAUAAGUGAGAAUUUUUGUUUUUUUUUUUCAAUAUACGCAUUGCCAAAGGCAACCUAAGGCAACAGAAUCGAUGCAAUGGAACCUUGCGAUCUUGUCCAUGUUUGAUCAUAAAUUUACAAGAAGAUUUUUUCAUAAAGACUAUAAGUCUAUGGUUACAAUGCAGUGGGUCUAAACAGAACUAAUACCUUAGUCUUUGAAAAGCUAUAAGCAAAUUAUGCAACCAAAACUUUGUAUAUUCUGUACACAGUCCAAUUGGAAUAAAACAAAGGAGGGGGGAAUUGUGUUAUCGGUUCCUUUUAACUCCAUCAUCAUCUCUCAAAAGGAUAUUUGAGGGCAAGGGUUCAUCUAUAACUAAUCUUUGGGUUUGUAUCAAACUAUUAAUUGCCCAAAUUAUGCCAUUCUACUACUCCAAAAACCAUCAUUCUUUUGCUCAUAACUCCAGAAACCAGUUGACUUUCGCACCCUAAUAACUCUAUGCUGCAGGUUUGAAUUUUGUAACCUACCCUCUUAUAUCACGUAACUCUCAAUAUUUCGACUGUCCUCACUUCUCAAGAGUUUUCUUCUAUAAAAAUCAUAGAAAAAAAAAAGACCCUGCAAGAGAGAGGAUGCAACAAGAGUGUUUGUAGAUGAGAGAGCAUAAAAUAUAAAUUCUCAUCUUGUUGUUAGAAGGAACAAUCAGACAGCAGCAUGCAGCAUAUACAAGUAUCUGAGAAUUUACAAAAACAAACCCAACAAAAAUAUCUCCAUAAAUUCUACUCCCCCCAACAUAUCUACUUCUUCUUCUUCAUUUUAUUAUUCAAUAAUAAUUAGAAUCCAAAGCGAAGCCCGCCGGCCGGCCGGCCGGCCGGCCCUCAAUUCUCCGGUUCGGGGGUAGCGGGGGGCGGCCGCGGAGAGGAGAGUGCAGCCGCUGAGAGGGCGUCGGCGAGGACGCGCAUCGCCUUGACCUGCAUCUCCAGCGCCGCCACGUAGUCGGCCGUCUCCUCCAGCAGGCUCGGAGCCGACAGCUUCCGGCACCCAGGAACCAGGCGGGCCAGCACGCGGAACCGGUCCCUCACCUUCUUUCCCUUCAGCGCCGGCGGCGGAGGCGCCGGCGAUGCGGCCUUCCUGACCGGUCGCGGCUGCCGACGACGCCGGACCUUGCCGCCGGCCUUGAGGAGGAGCUUGCGACGGCGGCAGCGACCGAAGAGGAUGGCCCGGCUCCACCGGGACUGUCCCCGGGCGGUGAGGGCGAGGGCGGAGUCGGCCGCCUCCUUGACGGCCCGGGCCCCGCCGGCGGCGGCGGAGACGCGGGCGGAGCGGAGGGCGUCGAGGAGGCGGCGCCCGUAGAUCCGCUCCUGGGCGCCCGUCCGCCACUUGGUCUGGGGCUGGGGGGUCGGACCGGGCCGCGGUUUUUUCCGUGAACCGGACGCUGAAGAAGAGGAAGGAGAUGAUGACGAGAUCAUCGUGGGAGGGAGAGGAGGAAGGGAGGAGGAAGUAAUGAUUAAUGACACGGAGAUGAGCUUGGCGGCCUCCAUAUAUUUAUGAUGCUUGUUGUUUGAUAGAAUGAUAGGGGCUCAUAUUAUUGGAGCAUAAACUGUGUGUUAUGAUGGGGACGCGGGGAGGUAUGGUGAGGCCCAUGGCCGGACCCAUGCAGAUUAAUUCACAUGAUUCCCCUGUUAUGGUAGUGUUAGCAUUUGGUGCAUUCUAUCACCAGCACAAUAGAGUUGAUACUUGCACCUGUGUAGUUUAAUAAGCCUGUCCCUUCCAACCAACUAAUAGAAAUUGCUGCCUUGCUUCUGCAAUGUUGUGCUGCAUCAAUUGUGCCCUAAUUUUCUUCAACAUGACACUAAUGCAAUGAAUGAGGUUGUUUCAAACAAGACCCAUCGUACUGGUACCGGACCCCGUAUCGGUGCCGCACUAGUAUAGUGUUAGUAUGGUACAAAAUUUUUUUAGCGUACCGACCCUCGGUACGCCAUCGGUCCUAUUAUCGAAUCAGUACAAUACGGUAUGGUACACUUUGUACCCUCUGAUACGAUACAACACGGCAUACUAUGGUUUCUAAAAGAAAGAGGGAUCUAAUUUGUCAAAGUAUGAUUUGCAUACUUGUUUAUUUUCUUGCACGGUGGUAAAAAAUGAAGCCCUUACAAAUACUAAAUGUGUUUUUCAACUGAAAUACAAGGUGCGUCGAUCUUUUUUUCCAGAAAUUACAAGGUGUUUUUGUGAGGACCGUGCGAGCGUAUGUUUAGUCUCACAUCGGUUAUUUGUUGGGUAGAUCUUGAGUACUUAUAUAGGAUCAAGAAAUCCAAACAAUACUUUCUAGCUAGUCUUUUUGGAUAAGGUACGGGAUUGUGACAAAUAGUAUCAGAGCGGACUUGGCCUAUAAUCUAUGUAGACUAGCGAACACUGCAGCACGGAUUUAUUGGAGCUGACUACAGCUCAGUCGUGGUGCUUGUGAUUAAAUUUAAAUGAAUUUGAACUCUUAACCUGACGAGAACGUCAAGGCUUAAAUAGAGAGAGUAUGUGAGGAUUCAUACAAGUAAGUAUUUAGUCCCACGUCGGUUAUUCGCUGAAUAAAUCUUGCAUACUUAUACAGAAUCAAAAAAAUUUCAAAUAAUAUCUUCUGGCUAGUCUUUUUGAGUGAGGUUCUGAGUUAUUACAGUCUCUAUAGAUAGCAAUAGAUGAGGUGCAGCAUAUUUUCUUGGAAUGAUACAUCUUCGCUUUAGUAUGUGGAUUCCUGUACUCAAUGAUUUUAGAUUUUUUUUUUAACUAUAAACUGCUCCUUUUGCAUUCCUAUACUUGAAUAAUAUUUGAAGUCCACUUGUAAUCAUCAUUCAUGAAAAUUAUAAUGUAACACUGCACUUAAAAUAACCUCUCAAGCGUGGAAUGAGUCGUUUGAGCUAUUAUUCAGUAAUUAGGUCUAUGAUUUGAUGCAUAAUGUGAUACCCUGUUCAUGCUAGUCAGGCAUCUGUGACUCAGGAUAUUUAACUAGCCGGUGCAUGAAUCAAGUAAAUAAACAAUAAAUAAAUAAAUAUUUUAUAGAUGCAAAUCAAGGAACAAUUAUUGGGUGGAUAAGAUUUGUAUAAGUUCAAUAACAAACAUCAAUAUAAGAACGAUCCUCACCUAAUGACACCCCUCCCACAAAGCUUACAAUAAGAUAUCCUUCAUAAAGGUUAUCACAUAUCAGGUCAUAUGCAGAGUCUCCCCUUCCCCGGCUUUGGCUUUCCCACCACGGCAGCGGGCGGCGGGGCCUACCGUUUUCUUUUCUCUUUUGCCGUCGCUUUACCUGGGCUUUUUAUUGAAGUUAAUUAGCAUAUACGUAUAGUUUUGUUUGGCUUCCGUUGGUGGUGGUGGUGCUGCCGCUGGUGCUCCUCCUUUACGUGGAACGUGCUAGUGGCUUUCAAAAAAAAAAGUUAAAAGAAAGAAAGCGCCUAACAUCAAAAAAUUUUCGAGCAUAAUGAUCUUGAGCCUAAGCGGAGUUUCCAGAGAUCAAUCAAUAUAUAUAUAUAUAUAUAUAUAUAUAUAUAUAUAUAUAUAUAGAGAGAGAGAGGAGGAGGGAGGGGNNNNNNNNNNNNAUCAAAAAUCUAAUUGCAAGCACCAUGAUCAGCCCAUGGUCAGCCUGCAUAAAUUCUUGCUUUAGUGUCCCUUAAUCCACGUAGAUUAUGGGUUGGGUCCACUCUGAUACUAUUGCAACAAUCCAGAAUUGUAUCCAAAAUAGCUAGUCCGAUGGUAUUUUUUAGGUUCUUUAGUUCUGUAUAAGUAUGCAUGAUCUCUUCGACAAAUAAUGGAUAUGGAAUAUUUAAACACACGCUAUAUGGAUCCUCACAUAGAAGGAAGAGGUGGGGGCCAAUUAGGUGGGCAGGGUUGUCUCUUGUCCGUGAUUGGAUAAUUGGAUAUGAUGGUAGCUAGCUCGUGUGGGUGGUGCUGGUGAUUUAGUUCAAUUUACUCCUCUAAUGAUGAUUGUUCUCUUCAUCACAUUGUGGGGAUCUCAUGGAAGUUCUUUUCCAUCACGGCUGAUGCCUCUAUUUCAUCUGCCAUGUUAAGAUACCGUGUUUGUCGGACCACCGGCUGCUUAUUUCAUUAACACAAAAAUCAGACAACCUUUAUUUUGUGUAAAGAAUGAAAAACCCUUGCGGCAAGCCAAAUUAGAUCAUAAUUCUUAAAGACUAAAUCGCUUUCUUGUUUGGUGCUAAAAGUUCUUAAAUAACUGAUUCAAUGUGUUUGAUGAUUGCUUGUGAUGGAACCCUAAUUGGCCCACCAUGAUUCCUCUACCUGUCAAUCUAUAUGGUUUGAUGUCUCCGUAAUUAGGUUCCAAAGUCUGCAGUAUUGGAACACAGCAAGCAUAGAUUUGGAUCGUUAACAUGUGGCCGACAUGAACUGCAUACGAGAUUACACGCGUGGGAGAUAAGGAUUAGAAGGUGAGAUUAGGUGGUAGGAUCUCAUUUCAGAAGUUGAAUGUUGCCUUUGUUCUUAGGGGGCAUGUAGGUCAAAUUGUGUCAUCGCAUUUCUUCAUCAAGUUUGAUUAAAGCUGUAAAUAGGUCCGUUUAUGUCUAAAUCCAAUCAAAUUCUAAAUGGAGCUUGUUUGUUGAAAUUGGUGCAGAUAUUGUCACAGAUUACACAAGAUAUAAAAUCGAACAAAAUGUCAACCUACAUGGUUUGGUAGAUGACUAGAUUCGGUUGAUGUUGGUUAACUUUCAAAAAAUAAUUAAAUCAGUAAAUCACAAAUGAUCUGCUGCUUCUUUCUGCAAAAUAUGGUAGGGUGGCUUAACUUCGCUGUUUAUUAGCCUUUUGUUCUUCCUAGGGUUGGUCUUCUUGGCAAAACAAGUGACUUGAAGGGUCCCCUGUGUAUGUGUACGUAUGUGCGUGUGUUUAUAUAUAUCAGGCUUGAAGUUGUCCUACUGGUCAUAACCCAGUUUGAAUUGAUGAUGCUCUUUUGAAACUUCAUCUCUUCAUCAUCCAAGCUUCUCCACUCUGUAAGCCCCUUCAAUAGUUGCUAUGAGAACGAGAGAGGAGAGAAGAUAUACCCGAUGUGUGGUACGAAAGAUAAAUAGAGAAGAAGAAUGGAGAAGGAAGAAUAUAGAUAAAUCUUCCAUUCAUCCUCCUGUACAUUUGAUGAAAUAUGAAACGAUGGACGGGAAUGAUUUUCUUCUCUGUUUGGUAUAGGAGGAAUGAAAGAAAGAAUGGAUGAUAUUUGUAUAAUAUUUUUCAAUACUUUUUGAUUAAAAAAUAUUAUUAUUCUUAGUUUAUAAUAUUUAUUCAUACUCAAGAAGUAGGGUUAUAUAUAACCUUAUAAUCUAUAAUUACAUAAAAAAUUAUAUAAAUAUUAAUAUUAAUUUAAUUUAAUAAAUAAUUUUAAUAAUUAAUUGUAUAUGAAUUAAUUUAUACCGAUUAAUUAUAUAAAUAACUAAUUAAUCUAUAAUUUAAUUUAAAUGAUAAAUUAAUUUUAUAUAAACACUUAACUAAGAAAUAGUGAAUAUAAAUAGAAAAACAGAAGAAGUGUUAUGAUUUUAUUAAAACUCACUCUUUAUAUGCUCUGUCCGUCCUUCCUUGCAUCCUCUCAAUUUGGGAGGAUGCAAAUUGGUGGGCCGGGGUGGAUGGAGAAUCUGUCCAUUUUAGUCAUUUUUUCUAAGUUUUUUUUGGAACUAAUGAGGGUCAUCCAUCCUUCAAGCCAUAUCCAUAUUUCCUCUUGUGACCCCGACUAAACAUAGGAAUAAAAGUGGUGAGUGGAGUAAAUAACGUCACCACACGAGAGAUAAUGAAGUUUUUAAUAUGGUGUCAGAUGUUUGGCCCCUGCUAGAGCUGCACUUGGCAAUCUUCUAAGAUUUUUAUUCAGCUUUUUUAAGAUUUUUUUUGAACUAAUGAGGGCCAUCCAUCCUUCCAGCCACAUCCAUGUUUCCUCUUAUGACCCCGAACUAAACAUGGAUAUGGGCUGGGGUGGUGNNNNNNNNNNNNNNNNNNNNAUGGGCUGGGGUGGUGGAGAAUCUCUCUUUUUUAUCCAUCUAUUUUAAGAUUUUUUUGAACUAAUGAGGUUCAUCCAUCCUUGCAGCCACAUCCUUGUUUCCUCUUAUGAUCCCGGCUAAACAUAGGAAUAAACGUGGUGAGUGGAGUAAAUAAAGUCACCACAUGAGAGAAAAUGAAGUUUUUAAUAUGGUGUCAGAUGCUUGGCCCUUGCUAUAGCUGCACUUGGCAAUCUUCUUUCCCCUCAAAUUACUUGCUGCUCGAGAAGAAUAAUGGCAUUGCUCCCCACUAAAAGUUGCACUAUACGAUCAAUUAAAGUUUGACUUUCUUCAUCAUUUCUUGUCCGAAUGUAGUAUGCCACACCUUGGCAACUUCCUCAAAGGAAAAGACAUUACCAAUUUUCAGAGAAGUGUACAAUAUGUUGUGAGGACUUAUAGAGGUAUAUGUUUAGUCUCACAUUGGUUAUUCGCUAGAAAGAUCUUAAGUACUUAUACAGAACUAUGGAAUCCAAAUAAUACAUUCUGAUUAGCUUUUUUGGGUAAGGUCCUAAGUUAUUAUUAAUAGUAUCAGAGUGGAUUCGGCCCAUGGCGCAUAUAGACUAAGGAAAACUGUAAUACAAGCUCAUUGAGGCUGGCCAAUUACAGUGCAUGUGAUUAGAUUUGAAUAGAUUUGGACCCUUAGCCCAAUGAGGACGUUUGAGCUUAAACAGAAGGAGUAUGUGUGGAUCCAUGCACGUCUGUAUUUAGUCUAACAUCGGAUAUUCGCCGAGAAGAUCUGGGACUCCCGGUUGAGUUAGACAAAGAUGCUAAGUGUGGGAAGAUAUGACUGCCCAAAGACACCAAUACUGUUAAGUGGGAUGUCUACCAAGCCAAAGUUUAAUUAUACUAGCUAUGCGGAAUAACGGGUUUGGCAUGGUCCCAGAUUAUCCCAAGCUUUAGAAUUUUACCGGGGAGCUUGUUCAUGCACUCGACUAUGAUGGUGGAGCCCGGUACGUUGGAAAGAAAGCUCUUGUUGUUCUUUUUUUUUAAUGAUAAAAAAAAAAUCUCGUCGUUCGAGUUGGGUCAUAUGCCAUAGAACUUAUCCUCAAUCUCCGAAGAUUGGAGGCCGGUAUGUAGAACUUAUUUUAUUAUCUUUCUCAUUAUAUCGAUUUUUGUAUGCUUAUUUGGCUUUCUUCAAUUAAGAAGUUCUCAUUAUCAUAUUUCUUGCUAUUCUACAACCUAUUUUCUUUUUUGAAUGUUUUUUUUUAAGAGGGAUAGAGCAGAGGUCAAUAUUUACCAGAGCUAAGCUACCCCCAAAAGAAAAUAAAUUUACCCUUCCAUGUCGAGAGUUUAGUUUCAAACUUCUGAAUUAAUGGCAUCCAGUCUAAUUCGUUAGCGCCCACCGUUUAGAGACAGCCCAAGAUAAGUAAAAAGGUAGAGGUGAAAAGCUACAAUUUAACCAAGAGGCAUAAUCAUCCAAAAUAGUGACCGGAGAGGUGAUUAAAGCUACGGUGAAAAUCUACAUUCGCGGACUGCUGCAGAAGUGUAAUGCCCAUCAAGCUACACAUAUCUACAAGAAAGCUAACUAUACAGCUGAUUGGGUUGCAUCCUAUGCGGCUCACCAUUCUGGAGAUUUUGUUUGGAGGAAGCGUGAUAUAGUGCCGAAUUCUUUAUCUGCUUUAUUGUUUUCAGAUUUUGUUGGCCGCAUCCACAUCCGAAGAGAAAUGGGGUCGAUAGCAAAUGGUUCAAAGAAGCCAUACGAUUCCUAACCGAUUUUUUGAACUUAAUCAAUUCCUCUCUUUCCCUUUUUAACCAACAUCAUUAACCUUGGGCAAAGCCAAAAAUUUGAUCCAACCGUUACAGAAGCUUUUUCCUCUGUUCAAUACAUAAUGACGUGACGGCAUUUGACAGAGCAGCAGGAGCUGGAUGAACCAAUGAGGCUUCGGGCUUUGAAAGAAAAGAAGGAAGGCUUUUGAGUACAAAGUACGCCAGAUUUGCUUCUCGCUGCGCUCGAUCAAAGAAAGGGAAAGAGAACAAGAGCUGCGCUCGACCCUAUUUGUUCCAAGAGCUACCCACUUUUGACCGGAUACGAAUUCACUGGUGCUCGAUCUAAUCCUAGCAACAAUAUAUUCCCAAUGUAUUUAUUGGGUUGGGAUUGACGAAUAACCAAUACCAAUAUUAAUGUUUAUUAGUGUCGAAUAGAAAUUCGAAAUAGGGCAUGGCCAAGUUGUGUCGUAUAAGUGAACAUUAGUUUCCUUAUCAUUCAAUGAGCAUCUUGUAUUUCAUAAAAAUUUAGGGUAAUAUAGUCCGAUUAGAUAUAAUUUGAUCGUUAUGAGCCAAUCCAAAAUCGUUGUAGACCGAACCAAUCAUUAGUUCCCAACCAUGGAUCGN
rnacentral:lncRNA from 1 species